rnacentral:lncRNA from 1 species
CCAACCCUUUAGAAAUGUAAAAGCCACUCUUAGCUCUUGUGGGCUGUACAAAAACAGGUGGCAGGGUGGCUUGGGCCUGUGGACCACAGUUUGCCCACCCCGAUGGAAAGCACUUACAAUGGUACUGGCACAGAGCAGGCACUCCCCACCGGCGAAGCUGAGCCUUGGCCGGGUUAGGCUAUGUGCCGUAUCUCAUUGAAACCCCACUGUCCCUGUGCGUGAUGGGAGACGUGAUAACUCAGAGGGGGAAGUGAAGAGUUAGGUGGCAGGUGGCAGAGUCACAGUAAAUCCACAGGAAGUGACGUGAGUUCUUGCUUCUGACCAUUAUAAAACGCCGUGCUGGCGGCCAGGACACCACAGGGAACCAGAUCCCCUACGGCUCAGCUCCAAAGACCACAAAUCAUGAUUUAAGCGAUUGGAGACGUGCGUUACAGAAACCACGGCCUGGACGGAGGGACAGCAGAGGCAUGGCGCAGUGUACAGUGACGGUGGCCCCCUGAAGGAGAGGCAUGUGGGCUGAGAAGAGCCCUGUAUCUGGCGCUGUGCCAAGUGCCCCGAGAGGAGGGUCCUGCCGAGGACAGCUCGGGACGUGGUGGCCUCACAGGCGUAGCAGAAGGAGACACUGCCCAAACUUCCUGAAGGCGGGCGGGGCCAACGAAAUAACCUGCAUAGCCCUUGUUUCAACUGUUCUAUUUUAUGGGAACAUAUCCUAAUAAAACGAGAAAAUAUUUAGAGUUCCCUGGAGGUGCAUCAGGGUUAGGGAGGCAGCCCUGUCACUGCUGUGGCAUGGGUUUGAUUCCUGGCCCCAGAACGUCCGCGUGCUGUGGGUGUGGUCAAAAAGAAAAGAAACUAUCCAUGGCUUAUAAUAGUGCAAACGCUGAAUUCAUAAGGGUCUGCCUCGGAUGCUAAAAAUACACGCGAGGGGCUCUGCCACUUUGGUCUGAACAACAGUGAAGCUGGGGGGCCCCACAGUCAAACACUGACGCAGCAGAAGGCAUGUGCUGAUGUGGGAAAAGCAUGUGUUUAGUAAAACAGCAAUUUACAAACUAACAUGUAUAUGAUCCUCCUAUGGCACGUGUAGACAGUGUAUGUAGACACAUAUGCGUUAGUUCAUUUAAUUAGUCACCUCUGAGUGAUAACAAAAGUGUUUUUUUGUUUUUGUUUUUCCUUUUUUUUUGGCUGUGCCUGCAGCAGUCAGAAGUUCCCAGGCCAGGGACAGAACCUGAGCCACAGCAGUGACAAUGAUGAAUCCCUAAUGCUAGGCCACCAGGGAACUCCAAACAGAAAGUGUUUUUAGCUUUUGCCUUUUGUGUGUCUGGGUCUGCGGAUUUUUCUGGAGGAGAUAACCGGUGCUUCUUUUUUUGGCCUGCACCUGCAGCAUGCAGAAAUUCCCAGGCCAGGGACUGAACCUGUGCCACAGCAGUGACAACACUGGAUCCUUAACCCAAUGCACCACCAGGGAACUCCCUU